AGAAUUGCAAGUAACAUUUUGUUUCUCAAUUGCAAAUGGACCUUGUCCAAAUCUCCCCAAACUUGUCCCAAUCGUUUGUGUCGUUACGGUUUUUUGAAGUUAUUAAGGUUUUAUGGUAUUAAUUAUUUACUAAUUAUAUUAUCAUAACUUGCCCUCCAACCAUGUAAAAAUCUCCCCAAACCAGUCCCAAUUCUUUGUGCUCUAAAAAAAAAUUCUGUAUACCUGUUAGUUUUGAAGUUAUUAACAUUUUAUGGUUUUAUGUUACUAAAGUUUCAUGUUUUUAAUGUUAUUAACAUGUUGUUAUUAUAUUAUAUAUCUGUGUUGGCUCUGCCAUGAGGUGGCGACUUGUCCAGGAAAGGUGUGGUCGUGCCAGCAACCUGGUUCGAUCCCCAGCUUCUACCAACCUAGUCACGUCCGUUGUGUCCUUGAGCAAGACACUUCACCCUUAAUCCUGAUGGGUCGUGAUUAGCCUUGCAUGGCAGCUCCCGCCAUCAGUGUGGGAAUGUGUGUGUGAAUGGUGAAUGUGGAAAUAGUGUAAAAGCCCUUUGAGUACCUUGAAGGUAGAAAAGUGCUAUAUAAGUAUUUAUACAUUGUACAUUUACCCAUUUACAUUUACCCCGCCUUCCGUCUGAAUGCAGCUGUCACCCCUGCGACCAUGAGAGGAACAAGCUGUAGAAAAUGUAUUGGUGGGUUAUAAAGAACAAAUUAAAAAAAUACAUGUCAAUAUUUUAUUUUUUAUUUUAUUUUUCUCCUGUCCAGCUUCUCAGGCAAAUCAUAUAGUUGAUGUAGAUGCCCAUAUCGGCUGUUCAGAUAGAAAGAGAAAAAAAGGAAGACAGAGAGGGGAAUUGGACGGCGUGGCGAAGUUGGUAGAGUGGCUGUGCCAGCAAUCGGAGUGUUGCUGGUUACUGGGGUUCAAUUCCCACCUUCUACCUUCCUAGUCACGUCCGUUGUGUCCUUGGGCAAGACACUUCACCCUUUGCCCCUGAUGGCUGCUGGUUAGCGCCUUGCAUGGCAGCUCCCGCCAUCAGUGUGUGAAUGUGUGUGUGAAUGGGUAAAUGUGGAAAUAGUGUCAAAGCGCUUUGAGUACCUUGAAGGUAGAAAAGCGCUAUACAAGUACAACCCAUUUAUCAUUUAUAAUUGUGGGGACAAGAGGGGGAUUAGACAGAGAGACAAAAGCAACAACAGCAAACACAACAACAACAAUAGAGCAACAUCAGCAAAUACGACAUGUACAAAUAUGAUGGUAAAAGUAAUAGCAAAUAAGCAGUUAGCGAAAAUAAAAAAUAAUACAGAAAUGACAAUGAGCAUUAUUACACUACAAAUGGAGCAAUACAAAUACCAAUAGAAAUAGCGCUAUUGAUAAUGAACAAUACCAAUACUUUACCUUUAUUAUCAACAAUACAGUUGUUCAAAUGCAACAAUACAUAUACGUAAUGAUAACUUGAGAUACGAAAGAAUGCAGAAAAAUGGAGGGGAAGAUAGAGAAGCAACCUACAUUAACCUUGUAGAUUGUUAUAGUAACAAUAGGUUAAGCUUUGUCAGUGUGCCAUGUGUUAUACCCAGUUUACCCUAUGGCAACAACAUUAAUAUAUUUUUGAUGAAACGUGAUUAUGUGCAUGAGUGUAUGUGUGCAUAUGUACUUGUAUAUGUACAGCAUGUGUAUAUUUGUUUGUACAGUGAAUGUAUAUGUACACUAUGUGUAUAUGUGUGUUUGUAAAGUGAAUGUAUAUGUACAGUAUGUGUGUGUUUGUACAGUGAAUGUAUAUGUACACUAUGUGUAUACAGUAUGUGUGUACAGUGAAUGUAUAUGUACAGUAUGUGUAUAUGUGUUUGUACAGUAAGUGUAUAUGUACAGUAUGUGUAUGUUUGUAUAAUGAAUGUGCGUGUGGAUGUACGAACUUUGAGUGUGUAAAUAUGUGCUGUAUUUGUACAUGUAUGUGGGAGCGUAGGUACCUGUGUGUGUGUGUGUGUGUAUGUAUGUAUGUAUGUGAAUUUGUAUGUACAAUACAUUUGACUCCCAGUGUGUGUGGGAGCCAGAGUACGGCCCCAGUCUCCCCGAGAGCCCAACCCACAAACAGUAGGUGUGGUGCCCAGGGAACCAGGGACCACCGCCCCCGCGCAGCCAAGCCGGUCAGCGACAGGAACCCCAGAGCCCGGUCCACCGCGCCGCCCACAAGGGCCAGCAGCAGGCCGCAGACAGACGCACCCGGCAGAGGACAAGGCACGAGAAAAGCAGGGGACAGCCAGACCCCAAGCCAGCGAGAGACCACACCCCACACGGGCAGAAAGGCGGGACGCCCCGCCCGAGGGGCCCGGAGACCCCCCCGCAACCGGACAGGAAGACUGCCCCCGCCCCACCGGCAACCGGGCCCCCAUGAGCCCAUCCCCACCCCCGGAGAGCGCGGCGAGGCCAGCCCCCGGCCACCCCACCCAAGUCGGCCGCCACAGGACCACCCAGCACGGGGCCACGGGAACCACCCCAACGAUGGAGAUGGAACAACCAGCAACUGCCCCGCCGAGGCCCCCCCCCCCCUGAGAAUUAAAAGAAGAUCACAGACAUGCUGACACACAAGGUCACUACCCCUCGGAAAACCUUGCAGCACCAAGCUACCACAGUAGACGCAGGGACUAGACCCAGCAGGCCCCAACCAAGACGGGCACCCGGAAGGGAUGGACGGUGGGAACCAGGAGCUCCAGACACGCAGUCCGGAUGCAGUAGCCUGAGGUGCCGACCCCCACCUGACAGGCAGGCCCAGAACGUACCCCCAGAAAUAUACAUACAUAUCUAUAUACAUACACAUGUACACAUACACACACAUAUACAUACACAUUCACAUAUAUACACAUACACAUAAAUAUACAUACACACAUACAUACAUACAUACAUACAUACAUAUACACAGCUUGUCAGCCCCGACAACCAUCACGCGCGCGCAGCCACCAGUCACAACAUCAGCCACCCCCCUGCACCAGACCCAGCAGCCACGGGCGCCCACACCACAAACAAACGGCAGCAGAAACAGCAGCAGCAAUACCCCCAGACAGCCAGCACCACCCAAUCAAAUCAAAGCGAUCAAAAAAAAACUGCGACCGGCAACCACAUGCCAACAGGAUCAGCGUGUGAUCAGCGCCAGCCCGCCAGCCAACCCAAACGCCAACACGCAAACAAGAGACACCAACACCCUCCCCCCCCCCACCAAAAGACCCCACCACCCCAACCCAAACCCGCACAAACACACCACCGCCCAAACAACCGAGACACAGCAUCCAGACCAGACAUGGGCGCCGCGCCGCCACCACAUCAAGUCACCAACAGAGACCCCACAGCGCAAGGUCGGGCCACACGGGCACGGACCCCACCCAACAGGAAGCGAGACCCGCGCGACGCCACACACAAAUAAAUAAAAAGAUUAAAUAAUAAUAAUAAUAAAAAUUUAAAUAAAAUUAAAAGUAA